GAGGUCCCAAAGAGAAACCCCCAGGCAUUAAAUGGAGAUUUUGAUGACAGAGCAUCAAAAGAGCUUAAACCUAUUUGUCUAGAUUCAGACCUGUAAUAUCGUUAAUUGAAAUAUUAAUUUUUAUUAAAACUACCAUAGCAUAAUGUUCGGCAGUUACACUUCCGGUUCCGGUCCUUUAUUGUGAAGGUCUCGCUUCCUGUUUGCGCUCUUUGUUUAUCACCAUCCGUCUUGAUCUGUGAGUUUCCGAGUCUGCGCGUAUCCUUAGCUCAGGGCCUGCGACAUCCAGGUAAUUCUCUAUUAAGCUGCAAAAGCGUCGCUGUUUUUGCGUCAUGUUUUUGAGCAAGAAAGUGAUUUCUAAGUUUACUUCGCACUGAGUCUGAGUGACUGAGGUUAUUCAUAUGCAUUGGGCGAACAUCAGCAUCAAUCAUCCUUAAGUCAUCAGUUCCCCUGCUGGUUCAACGAGCACUUUCCCCCCCUGAUCUCGAGAGCGUCAGUCCUCACAUCCGUCCCUCUCCCCAGCUUCAUUAUUUCAUCCACAACUCAGACAUAACGCUGUUGUAUUGUGACGAUUACCUAUGUAAUCACACGUGAGUUUGGAAACAAUAAAUUGUAACUUUAUUGUAUUUUGUUAUUACAAUGUUUUGGGAAAAACAUCAAUGGCGCAAUUGUAGAAGUUCAAUAAAGAUUUGGAAAAAAAAUGUAGCGACAAAGUAUUUGGUGGCGUUUACCAACUUCCAUUAAACGAAGAAGAAAAGAGGCGCCAAUUUCAUACUGCAACGCAAAUGAAGUCUGGACUAUCUUGUUCCAACUCCCACGGCCAUGUUUAUAUGGAUUUAUGCUUUCUGGCAAAAAACAACCAAAGCGAACGUGGGCCUUAGGCAGACUGGCUGGCUUACUGGUGGCAGCUAAGCUAAUCGGCUAGCAGCUUCAGCCAGGGAGCGCACCUGCCUUCCAUGCAUCGUACAACCCCAGGUGCCUCCAUGAGAGGAGCGACAAACUAUGAGGAGGCAGCUGAACUCCAAUCUCCUCAUUGAUUUUAGAUGUGAGGAUUUCUGAAGCUCUGCGUGAGUGGGAACAGACAUGCACUUCAGGCAGCUGGCCUCUACUAUGUGAUGGCAUGAUAACCUGUUCAGGCUCUACAGUGUUUGACAGUGGACGCAUAGACUGUCCACACACCUUUAGCAUCAAGACUUGUAUGGUUGUUGUGUGGGAAAGCAGCUGCCAAGCAGAUUGAUCGUCUGCAUCUCGUCUGCAUCUCAUUCAAUUCAUUCACUCACACAACUGAACUAUUGUUGUUACUUGCAUGUCCGAGAAACUUUUCAAUUUUUUUUUCAAAUGUGGUAAGUCAAUUGAAACAUUAUCACAUCUGCUGUACAGUCAAAAAAUGUUCAAUAAAUUAUAUGAUCCUGGAUAUGAAGAAUUACCCAGUAGGGUUACUUGUGCUGACUUCUCUAUCCUCACCAGACUUUUAGAUUAUUCCUAAUUAUAGUAAUCACCAUACUUCAAAUUAGUGACUUUACCUACUUCUGCAUGACAAACAUUUUUUAUGGUUUCAAUUAUGUUUGCUAUGCAAGUAGACAUCCUGCAGAUCUGUGGUAUUUUGAGGUUAAGUGCUCAUGCAGACAGGCAGCGAAACCAUGCUGACUAUAACAAAAGCACAUCAACACAGACUGAAUGAAACACACACACACAGCUUUUAAAGCUAUUUAGCAAAGCAGCAGUUAUAGUUUUACAAGCUGCACUUUAAGUAAAAAUACUCGCUUCACAUCCUUUGUGUAUUGAACAGUAAUGGGAAAAAAAUCCAGCAAUAAAAGCAGUGAAUGCAAAAUGUGAUUAUUAUAGAUUCGGCCUGUCCGCACAACCUGGGACAAUGUUGUUUUUUUUUUUUGUUGUUUUUUUAAGUAAAGAUAUGUCUUCUUUUCUAUUACCUGAGGAAUCACAGACUUGUCUCUUUUGAGCGUGCUCUGCCUGAAUCAUACAGUAGGUCUACUUUAGAAACCACAACUAUGGUAUAAAUGUAAAGUAAUGUUGGCAACAACAUUCCUCAGUAGCAUCCUCUACUGUAACUGACCCCUGCUGUCUUGUAAAGCCACCCUCUCCCAACCUCUGAAUAAUGCACCUUUUCACUGGGCUGCGCUGCCUCUCUGACCUUGUCUUGUAAAGAUGUACUUUGACCCGAGGCUCCACCUUGUUAAACUCCCUCCAUUUGUUCCUUUGUGGUUGAGCUUUGUUAAUAACAUUUGCUUGGUUGAACAUGAAGUCACCGAGUCAAGAUGCUGCUCACAGCUGCAGUGUUACAGUUAUUGCAACAAGUAAAAAGAAUUAACCCGUGCACAAGCUUAGAAGUCUGGCUUUUGUCUGCGAUGUAAUAAAACAUGACAUGGAACUCACACUUGAUCAAAACCAAAUACUUUUAUGCAGUUGUUUGUGGCUUUAAAAUUACAUAAUUCAAUGUAGUUUUUUUCUUGACUGUAUUGUCUUUUGGGACUCAAUCGACACUUUAAAAAAUAAUCAACCCACUGAUUAGUUAAUAUUAUAAGAUAAUAAUAUUUAACGGGACUAUUUAACUUGUGACGGACUAGUAAAAUUUUCAGGGUGGAUGAGAGGAGGCACAGACUCCAGCACCAUUGUAAUUAGGAUAUUUGAUCAUUUAUAAUUCUAAUUUUAAAAUGUACUCAUAUUGUAAGUUACAGGGGUUUCUUUAACCUCAGCCGAUGAAGGUUCUUGGAUGAGUAGUGAAAUGUUUUAAAAUAAGUUCAGAUGCCAUAAGUCAACUUUAUAUUGCUUGUACCUGCAAUGUUCAACCAUUGGACUGUUCCCACCUGCAGAUUAUCCACGUCUGUCUCGCUCUCACGUUUCCAUCUUUCUUCAAAUAAAAAGGAUAAAAGAUGUCUCCUGGGUAGAAAUACUGUCUCCUGGUCGUAUUCCCAGCACAGCAGAGGCCUGACAUUUAACAGGUGUUUAAUCUCUGCCCCCUCCCUCUCAGACGGCGAGUCUGAUUCUCUACAGAAUAUCUACUGAGCAUCUGCCUGUAAUGAUAAAAUGUGCCACUCACUUUAACUUUCAGUCUGACUGUAGCGCUUCACAGCACAGUAAUUACAGCAUCGGACAGGAUCGCAUGGCCCUUUUAUUAAUGUCCUGUGUGUGGAAUUGUGGGGUUCUUGUGUUCCAGUGCCAAAGAAAGAGACAAAUCAAAGAUCACUGAGACAUAAAAAUAUAAAAACAUAAAACAUAAAAAGUCCAAUAAUGGCUUUUCCCUUUCCAUUUUUUACUUCUUAAGGGGCCUGUGAAGAAGUGUUGUAUUAUACAUUGUCCUACGUACUGCAGUUAAGUUCACUGUUAAGCAGAACUUGUAUUAUAUACACAUUACACUGGUCUAAUUACUAAUUUCCCAGAUGUGCCAUGUAACAAAUGAACAAAUGUAAUUUAAUGAUAAAAAAACAUAAUUUAUUUGUAAAUAUAAAUAAUCCAUCAGUGUUGGUCUGUAAUUUAAAAUGGACAGUUUUGUUUGGUAAAUCUAAGUUCAAGCGGCCUCAGUUAUUUUGGCUGCUAUCUUUAUUGUCCUUUCCCAUAAGCAUUGCUGUAGUAAACUGACAUCAAAGAGCAAAUUAGCAUUCCAGCCUAAUAAUUUCCAGAUAUCUGGUCACAGAUUUGACUCAAUAUCUGGCAGUUCCAUGCUAAUAAAUGGUAUUUUUUUGGAAGGGUCUCUGAAUCGCUUCCCACCAUGACCUCCGUGGCUGUUGUCUCUGUCUUUCCUGACUCCCGGGGCCAGCUGGCUGGCACCAAGGGAGGGAGGGUGCCGUCGCUCUCGUUAGCAUUGAGGCCAUUUUGGGCUGAUUAUAUGGAGCUGGCCGCGCCAUAAAGCCUCCCUUCAUGAGAGAUCACCCGAACGAUCUGCACGUCUGACUGUCAAUAUGACGGCCGUUGCCAGGUCGGCCAAACGCAGUUGGCUGGAAUGUGCGUGUUUAAUCAGAACACAAAUGUCAUAUUUUGAGUAGUUUGUUUUUAUGGCCCAUCGGGGGGCGUGAGCAUGGCUGAUUAGAAUUUAGGGAAAGUUUAUAUAGAAACAUCCAUGCAAGAUAAUUCUCUCUUGUUUUCAUGCAUUUCCUUUGUGUUAACAAAGAAAAGUCAUGUGUGUAGUGGCCCUUUAAAUACACAAAUAUGUAUAGUAGGAAUUCCUGUGUGUUUAAGGAAAAACAAAGUUUAAGCUCCAUAUGUGGCCCAAGUGGUUGUGUGUGUAAAUGUAUAUGAAUGUCUGUGCCAAAUGCUGAAUGUGACCACCCAUGAUGACUGUGGGGCCUCAGCAAAACACAACUUGAAUCAACAGCAAGACAAAACCCAUUUGGACCCCACUGAGUUCCCCUGUAAGGAGCCGGUUAAUGGUCCUAUCCUGAAAACGCAAGCAGCACACACGGUUGGACACACAGUAGCAACCAUUGUGUUGAGUCCUACUUCAUGAAACUUCAACUCAGCUGCAUAGUGUUAUUGCAUUGCAUACAUUAUUAUGACAGUUACUGCAUUAACAGGGGCUAGAAUAAAUGUUCUGGUGUGAUUGACUUCUAAAAGACCACACAACUAAGCUUGUCUACAUUUAUAAAACAUGGUGAUGAUUGCAAGGAACAUACAAAUAUACAGGGCAUCAAAAGAAAUGCAUACAUUAACGCAAACACUUCUGCAGUUGAGGGGAGACAUUCAGCAGGCAUCUGAGUUUCAGUGGUUCAACGCUACAAUCCAAAUCAGUACAAUGAUCGUCAAUGGAGGGCUUAAACGAGCCUUGGGCCUUUUAGAGGCCAGAGGACCUGGUAUACAAGUACCAUUUCCAUAGGUUGGCCUUUGUAUAUUAGGGGAGUAUAUUGUGUCUUUUAAUGCUGUUUAGGUUGCCUGUUGUUCAGUAAUUGUUAAUUAGCUGGAGUUGAAACAGGUUUGUGAUGUCGACCUGUAGAAAGAUUAGAGAAGGUAUGUGAUUAAAUCUAUUUCACACUAAAGACACUAAACACUAUAAUGUGUGGUCAGAUACGCCCAGGACACCCAGAAAAGGGCUUUUUUUUCUGCUCCGCCCAGAGUUGACUACACCACAAACUGGUUUCCAGUUCCUGAUAAGGCCUGACUCUGGAAGUGAUCCACGUCACUGAGUCGCCGUCUGGGAAGCACUCUUCUUAUUCUACAGUGGGGGAAUAAACGAUCACCUAUCGGAAACGUGUGUUUUUCCAGUCACUAAGUUCAAGCCAAUUACAGGAAUGGUCAAUUCCACUUCCCACCGAGUAGCAUGUUACUGUGUGUUUGCGGCUUGGUGCAUAUUUUUCGCGCUAAUCGGACACGUCCCAAACCACAGUCCAUGGUUUGCGUUCAGUCCAAGCCACGGACACAUGAAUCAGAAACCCACAGGAGGUUGACACAUUCCCACUAACACUGUCCAGAAAUGUUAGGAGGAUCAUGAACCCCAAGAAUUGGGAAAAUUUUGUAUUAUUGCAGUGAACAGAAAUUGGUCGGAUAAUAAUUUUUCUUCCCAGACUCCCUGAACAUCAACAGCAGCCACAUUUGCCUGUGAUGAUUUGGUGACACAUUAAUUAGAUAAUGUGUCACAAACAAAUAUUUAGUUUUACUUGCAUAUGAAACUGUAAAGCAUAAUCAACAGGCCAUCAAGUUUUAUCAACAAUUGUGUUUUCUCCAUUCAUACUUUUUUUUUUUUUUUAGUUUUUAUAGUAUCUCUGUGACCGGGACAACAAUAAAUCAUGAGGUCCACAAAGCUUAAAUUUCAAAAUAACGAAAGAUAAGCGAACUAACAAAAAUCGCAGUGAGCACUGCAAUAUAAAAAAAGAAAUGGGCUGUAACCCUCGCUGACACUGAUAUCCUACAGCAGUGUAAAGUAAAUGACUCCUGUAAUGUCUAUUCAACGUUUCGAAUCCCGCUGCUGGAUUUCCUACCCAGCCAGGAAAACCACAUGCACAGUCCACACAACUGCAAUCAUAUUUAAAGAAAUUCCAACUGCAGCCCCAACAGACCGUCAGAGUCAGAGGAGACUGGAUUCUGUAUCAUCUGAAGACAACUGCUAUAGAGCCACACAUUAUACAGUCAUGUUGUAAUCGUACCUGUCAGUGACAUAAUCCAUGCAGCUGAGGUCUCCUGCAGAUGCACAAUUAAAGCAGUGUUUAAGAUAAUUGCUAACAUACAGCAUAUACACAUCUACAAACAGGAACACACACACUAAUAGGGUGCAUUUUAAUAAUCUGAUGGUCUGUCUGCUUUGGUAACAGUCAAGCAGGUACAGAGUUAAUGAUGGACACAUCAAAAUCUAAGAUGCAUCAGUUAUACUGAGCUCCAAGAAUGUUCCGUUGUCUUUUAUAGAUGCACUUAUACAGACUUUAAUCAAUGUUCAGCUAUUACUAGUUUAUGCCUAAACCCCCUCAUGUAUCAUGUCAUGACUUCUUCUUGGGGGUUCUCCAGAUUCCAGUAAUCAUUGAAGCUAUGGAAUGAAUAACAGAAUGAUACCAACUCAAGCUCUGCAGUGCCAUCUUCUGGGUUUGACCAGACUGAGAUAAGAAAUGGCAUCUACUGUAGAUCCUAAUAUGCAUUUGACUAAUUUACUGUAAUCUGUAAUAAACAAAGGGUAAAAACUUUAAAGUUAUAGAACACUCAAAACUUUCACAUCAGUAGGUCAUAGACAGCUAUUAAUGUCUAAGCAUGCAGUUAUAGUCUGUAUAGACAUCUAUACAGAUGGAUGCUUGUUUUAAUACAGUUAAUGAAUGAAAUGUAUGAUUAGCAACCUGUACAGUAGUCGAUCAUGAGGGUUUUGCUGUCUUCACCAUGAAGAGUUUGGAAAAUGACCUGGUGUUUGGAAAGAGUAGGUUGACGGUUUACCAGUCACAUUUCAUACAUGAUGUUAUAGAUGCUUUACUGAAAGUCGCGGCCUAGCAAUUGAUAGAACCCGGCAACCUCUGAAAUCUCCUGCUCAAUCAUGUUGUCACUGGCAGCAAUUAUGUUUCCUCUGCACCCCUGACAGAAAACCUGGAUAGUUGAUGGCCACAUACUGCACUCUCAAAGAUGGCAACUCAGACUUUUUCUUUGCUACACAUUUCCAUUAUGUUCCUGGAUAUGAACCGAUAACUGUCCGGGUGACUUAAUGCAGAUGGACACAGUCAUACUGCAGCUACUGUAACUUGAGUAUCAGACCUAGUGCUCUCUCUGCUCUUUCAGCAGAAUGUUGUAGAACAGAUUUCUGAUUCUUUCAUCCAAAUUCCCCUUUAUGGUUGUGUUUAACGGUCUGAGGUCAAAACGCGGUGAUUCAGAGUUUGCUGAAAAGCUUCUUUGUAUCCUUCAGCUUGUCAAACUGAAAAGCAACGGAAAUAUCUAUUGAAAAAAAAAAACAGGUGGAGACAAUUUGACCCUCAGGUCAAGAUGGAUUUUGCAGAAAGUCUUCCUCCAACGCUUUCAUGCGUGUGUCUAUCACUGAUUCAAGCUCCGGUCCACCUUGGAACAAUCUCUGCGCGCUGUGCAUUCAAAUCAGUGAUUCUAAGCAGUGAUUGGAACAAGAUGGACAUUUUACUGGGAAGAUGAUUUAUAAACUACACGGCAAGAGCUUCUUUAUGGGGAUCCUUGCCACCUAAAACAGACCAACGGAACCUUUCACCGAGAAGAGUAACAUUUUUAUGACACGUGAUGAACAGAAACAAUGCUACAGUGAGAUUCAUGGUCCUGGCAGGGCCCGCUGGUCUAGAGGGAUGUACGAAGGAAACGAUGAGAGGGUGAGAUGGACGAAAAAGUUAAGAGUGAAGAUGAGGAAGAGCAGAAAGGCUGAACAAGAAUGGAGGAGUUCGAUGAGAAGAAAUUAGAGAAUGAAAAAGAGAAAGGAUGCUGCCGGAAACAUCAUAACAGAACAAAUAAGCCGUGGUUGUGCCACUGUGUGUUUACUUUAGGAUACAUCUUUCACUGAAGACGCUGUUACAGAUUAGGUCACCAUUGGACCGGAGUUGGUAUGUUUUCGUACUAAAACAUACUGCUCAUCCUUGGCUCUGCUUCUGGAGCCGCUCUUCCCCUAGGAGAACAUUUAAAAUUGCAAGCUGCGAGUGCUAAUGGGGCCUGGGGGAGUGGUCUGGGAUGGGGGGAGGAAGGGUGGGCUGACCGAGGGCAGGGCCCAGAGUGUGGGGCCUGUAAAACGCGUCUGGGGGGUGAUGUUAACUGCUGCAACAAGGCGGAGGGUCCGAGUUCAGCAUGUUUAUUCUGGAGAGGAAGGUUCCUGGGUGCACUAGGAGAGGGAGAAAGAUGCCUGUGGAUGAGCCAAGCUUUAAAGCAUGGGUGGGCUUUACAUUACUGAACGGGUUCGAUUGUUGUUCUUAUGUGGUGGAUGCUCUGAGGGAAUGAUCAUCGGUUUAACAAUGCACUCGGACAUUCUUGGUUCUCAUGUGUAACUCCACUCCACGUAAAACCCAUCGUUUAGAAUGAGCUGAGUGCAAACCUGGAUCGAGACUGUCCACAACAUUCUGGAUCGUAUCCUUUAGUUUGUGCUUCUAAUGCACAACAUGUUGAGUCACAAAGAUAGAAUCUGAUGCACUUAUAAUGCAGUGAAGUUGUAAUCAGUCAUUUUUCAGAUAACUGGUUAAAUUCAAACAAUUAGAGAAUUAAUUGGUUGGUUUUGUGUGAGUCAGGUGAUUCAUUGGCUCGUCCAUAAACCACAGGUUCCUGUUUUCACUACAGGAUCCUACUGGUCACUAGCCAAAAUGGUUAAAGUGAAUACAUUGGUAAAAAGUCUUUCGGGCUUUACAUUUAACUGUGUGCAUCCUGGAAUUGGACAGAUCUCAGUGAAGGAUCUAUGAAGAAAUACAUAUGUUAUUAUUUUUUCUGGAGCACUGAGCCUUAUAAUCUUUUUGGAGGAAUUAGUUUGACUCCGUCAUUCUUCUGCUCUUAUCAUCACUGUGAAGGGAUUCAAGGAAAUUAGAUUUCCAUCACUCUUUGCUCCACGUCUGUUACAAGUAUCAUGUCUGCGUCAUUGUAAGUUCCUAACGAGAAUAUUUGCUCUUGACCUGUGCAGAACAUCAGGCCCAGGCCACACUGGCUCGCUCCUUCGUUGGCCUGUUUGAUCUCUCACACACAUGGUUUUCCUCACCAAAAGGUGCUGAGUGAGAGCUGAAAAGCCUGGUUUAUGGUAUCAGACGAGCUCAAGAAUACUGGUCCUUUGCCACGAGGGCUCAGACAGAGCUACAACUGAAAUAAAAAAUGAUAAGAAAUUAGUUGUGUUCUUUAAGAACACAAGCCAACGAGGACGCUUGGAAUCUAACUGCGUGUGCUCAGUACCCAGAGGUUCGAGACAACUGAUGCAGAUGUGCAUGCAAACGGGUGCAACAGAGUGUGAAAGUGGGUGUUGGUGAGCGAAAGCAUGACAUGCCUUACAGUCACAUUUCCCAGGAUAGGUGGGUCCUGCCAGUAUCUGUGUAACAGUAUAUCUCCUAAUGAAGUAAUCACUGGGCCUCAAUUUGUAGCCAAUCUGUAUUAGGAUUAAUUUGUGCUACGUCAAACCAGCCAUUCUGUUGGAAUUCUGUAUCUAGUUAAGACACGUGAAGAUCCUGACUUCUGUUAAAAGUUAGUAAAUGUUUUCUGUGUGAAGCCCAGGCUCCACCUUCUCUCCACAGUUCUCCCUGAAGGUUGUUUUGCUUUCCUAAUGCAGUGGAGAUGUAUGAUGAGACGUUUCACUGAAUGAGCUGCUGAAUUUCUCCCCUGAGCGUUCGGCAGUGACCCCUGAGCUUGACCUCCCGCGCUGGACAAUGUUGACACAUUGUGAGCCCCGGGAUCCAUACUGGAUACUCUCAUUUUUCUUUAACUGGAUGUAUGUGCAUAAACACCCACUUAUUUUUUUCUCUCCUAUUCCUCUAUUUGACGUAUUAAACUUUCAUCCCGCUUCCUUUUCAGCUACGUGCCCCCAGUGUUUAUUCUUUUCAGCCUCCAGCACCUGUUUUACUCGCAAGAACUUUGGCUGCUUCCUAAAAUCUCCAAUUACUAUUGUUUUCCCAUAAGUGCCCGUAUUCGUCAGGAUAUAAUUAGGAAAUAAUUUUUCCCUUCAUCACGUGAAAUUUGAUGACUUCCCUUUCAUGUUUAAAAAACGUUUUCCAAGCCUGUGUUUUGUGUCUGCGGAUGCUUCGCGUUGCAGCCAUGGUGACGAAUGUGAGGCCCGUGUCAAAAACAACACGGCUCACCUCUAACUGCGGCAGCCCACUUUGCACGUUAGCACAAUCGCUGCUUUAAUUGGGGCAGCGGCCGAAGCGAGAGGUGACAUGAAAGACGCGGGCAAGCGGCCAAAACGCUUGCAACCACCCGGCGUCCAUCGCUGAGUCUGGACACGGUCGUAUGUCGCAGCGGCUGCAGUGGAAAAAGUGAGGUUCUGCGCGGCGGCUUGUGAUGCAGACGGCCCUUUUGAUGCCUGCCAAAUGACAUCAUCGUGCCCGUUUGGUAUUUUCUGCGUUACUAAGGGAGCCGUGGAGCCCCAGCAUGUGACUCCACAUCAACACUGACGCAAUAGAAAUAAUUUACGAACGUUAAUGGUUAAAAACAUCCAAUUCAUACAUAUCGCAUAUCCAUGUCUACAAAGGAACAGUACGAAGUCUGUGGCUGAGAAAUUAUAGUACCUUAUGAGAUUCAAGUGCUUUGCUACAAGUGAUAUGUGAGUGAACCAUAACUACAUUUUUGGUUUUGUGUCAGUUUGGAGUGAGUUCCCUGCUUUGUUGCUUUUUACUUUUAUCUACUUUUGCAUUAUUCUAAAAAAAUUUAAAUGUUCCCUCUUUGUCUUCUUGUUCCUACACUGUAAUAACACAAUGCAAGUACAGUUUUAUAUUCUAAAUCUAUGGUGAACAUUCCUCCAAAGUGAUGCCUUCAUCCUACAG